rnacentral:rRNA from 1 species
CCAUGGCCGCGUGUAUGAAGAAGGCCUUCGGGUUGUAAAGUACUUUCAGCGGGGAGGAAGGCGGUGAGGUUAAUAACCUCGCCGAUUGACGUUACCCGCAGAAGAAGCACCGGCUAACUCCGUGCCAGCAGCCGCGGUAAUACGGAGGGUGCAAGCGUUAAUCGGAAUUACUGGGCGUAAAGCGCACGCAGGCGGUCUGUUAAGUCAGAUGUGAAAUCCCCGGGCUUAACCUGGGAACUGCAUUUGAAACUGGCAGGCUUGAGUCUCGUAGAGGGGGGUAGAAUUCCAGGUGUAGCGGUGAAAUGCGUAGAGAUCUGGAGGAAUACCGGUGGCGAAGGCGGCCCCCUGGACGAAGACUGACGCUCAGGUGCGAAAGCGUGGGGAGCAAACAGGAUUAGAUACCCCCGGUAGAA